AGUGAACGCUGGCGGCGUGCUUAACACAUGCAAGUCGAACGAGAACGGAUUAUAGCUUGCUAUAAUUGUCAGCUAAGUGGCGCACGGGUGAGUAAUGUAUAGGUAAUAUGCCUCUUACUAAGGGAUAACAAUUGGAAACGAUUGCUAAUACCUUAUAUUCCUUUUUAUCAAAAGAUAAAAAGGGAAAGAUUUAUUGGUAAGAGAUUAGCCUGUAUUGUAUCAGUUAGUUGGUGGGGUAAUGGCCUACCAAGACAAUGACGCAUAACUGGUUUGGGAGGAUGAUCAGUCACACUGGAACUGAGACACGGUCCAGACUCCUACGGGAGGCAGCAGUGGGGAAUAUUGCACAAUGGACGAAAGUCUGAUGCAGCAACGCCGCGUGGAGGAUGACACAUUUCGGUGCGUAAACUCCUUUUAUAUAAGAAGAUAAUGACGGUAUUAUAUGAAUAAGCACCGGCUAACUCCGUGCCAGCAGCCGCCGUAA
rnacentral:rRNA from 1 species